rnacentral:rRNA from 1 species
ACGCUGGCGGCAGGCCUAACACAUGCAAGUCGAGCGGUAGAGAGAAGCUUGCUUCUCUUGAGAGCGGCGGACGGGUGAGUAAUGCCUAGGAAUCUGCCUGGUAGUGGGGGAUAACGUUCGGAAACGGACGCUAAUACCGCAUACGUCCUACGGGAGAAAGCAGGGGACCUUCGGGCCUUGCGCUAUCAGAUGAGCCUAGGUCGGAUUAGCUAGUUGGUGAGGUAAUGGCUCACCAAGGCGACGAUCCGUAACUGGUCUGAGAGGAUGAUCAGUCACACUGGAACUGAGACACGGUCCAGGCUCCUACGGGAGGCAGCAGUGGGGAAUAUUGGACAAUGGGCGAAAGCCUGAUCCAGCCAUGCCGCGUGUGUGAAGAAGGUCUUCGGAUUGUAAAGCACUUUAAGUUGGGAGGAAGGGUUGUAGAUUAAUACUCUGCAAUUUUGACGUUACCGACAGAAUAAGCACCGGCUAACUCUGUGCCAGCAGCCGCGGUAAUACAGAGGGUGCAAGCGUUAAUCGGAAUUACUGGGCGUAAAGCGCGCGUAGGUGGUUUGUUAAGUUGGAUGUGAAAUCCCCGGGCUCAACCUGGGAACUGCAUUCAAAACUGACUGACUAGAGUAUGGUAGAGGGUGGUGGAAUUUCCUGUGUAGCGGUGAAAUGCGUAGAUAUAGGAAGGAGCACCAGUGGCGAAGGCGACCACCUGGACUAAUACUGACACUGAGGUGCGAAAGCGUG